GGACUGGGCGUUAGAGUGGUAUCCACAAUGCCUCUGACUUGUGAAUUUUCCAGCCUGACUGAUGGGAACAGAAACUCUAACCAUCCCGUGUAAACUUCACGUUCUGUUCCUCUAAUCCUUUCAGGUAGUUUUUCCCCUCAUCUCCGCGAAUUUCCUCACAGGCACCUGAUGAUGAGAACUCUGCUGAGUACGGUGCACAGAGCAGGAAUGACUGUGUCCACUGACCUGUGAUGAGGACCCCGAGGCUCUGAGAAGUGGACUGGCCUGCUAGCCCUGACUCGCUGUGGACUCUGGCCCCAGGCUCCAACUUCAGGGCACUUUCUGCUGGAGCAGCAUCCUCAGGCAGCUGGCUGGGCAUCAGCAAAGAGGAGCUCCAGACCCAUCCCACACGGCUAGGAGCAGCUGGUCCUCUGUGUGGAUUUGGAAGUGCCAACCAUGCACCCGUUUUACAGCUGGGGUGAAGCAGACAGAGGCCAGUUGCUGGGCCUCAUCCAGCCCCAAUGGAGUCGGCCUUCCCACUGCUGCUG
rnacentral:lncRNA from 1 species